rnacentral:rRNA from 1 species
CUUAAACUGCAUUUGAAACUUAUGUUCUUGAGUGGAGUAGAGGCAAGCAGAAUUCCUGGUGUAGCGGUGAAAUGCGUAGAUAUCAGGAGGAACACCGGUGGCGAAGGCGGCUUGCUGGGCUUUUACUGACGCUGAGGCACGAAAGUGUGGGUAGCAAACAGGAUUAGAUACCCUGGUAGUCCACACUGUAAACGAUGAUUACUAGGUGUAGGGUGGCUGAACCAUUCUGUGCCGGAGUUAACACAAUAAGUAAUCCACCUGGGGAGUACGGCCGCAAGGUUGAAACUCAAAGGAAUUGACGGGGGCCCGCACAAGCAGUGGAGUAUGUGGUUUAAUUCGACGCAACGCGAAAAACCUUACCAGGUCUUGACAUCUAACUAACGAAGCAGAGAUGCAUAAGGUGCCUUUCGGGGAAAGUUAAGACAGGUGGUGCAUGGUUGUCGUCAGCUCGUGUCGUGAGAUGUUGGGUUAAGUCCCGCAACGAGCGCAACCCUUAUUGUCAGUUGCUACGCAAGAGAACUCUGGCAAGACUGCCGUUGACAAAACGGAGGAAGGUGGGGAUGACGUCAAAUCAUCAUGCCCUUUAUGACCUGGGCUACACACGUACUACAAUGGCGGUAAACAAAGAGGAGCGACGGAGUGAUCCCGAGCAAAUCUCCAAAAGCCGUCUCAGUUCAGAUUGCAGGCUGAAACUCGCCUGCAUGAAGUUGGAAUUGCUAGUAAUCGUAGAUCAGCAUGCUACGGUGAAUACGUUCUCGGGCCUUGUACACACCGCCCGUCAAACCAUGAGAGUUGGGAAUGCCCGAAGUCUGUUGUCUAACCGCAAGGGGGACGCAGCCGAAGGCAGGCUCAAUGAUUGGGGUUAAGUCGUAACAAGGUAACCA